UCGAGAAUCUUCGGCAAUGGGCGCAAGCCUGACCGAGCGACGCCGCGUGCGGGAUGAAGGCCUUCGGGUUGUAAACCGCUGUCGGAGGGGAGGAAAUGCUGUGAGGUACUCCUCACGGUUUGACCUAGCCUCAAAGGAAGGACGGGCUAAGUUCGUGCCAGCAGCCGCGGUAAGACGAACCGUCCAAACGUUAUUCGGAAUCACUGGGCUUAAAGGGUGCGUAGGCGGCGCUGAAAGUUGGGUGUGAAAUCCCUCGGCUCAACCGAGGAACUGCGCCCAAAACUACAGUGCUCGAGGGAGACAGAGGUGAGCGGAACUUGCGGUGGAGCGGUGAAAUGCGUUGAUAUCGCAAGGAACACCAGUGGCGUAAGCGGCUCACUGGGUCUCUUCUGACGCUGAGGCACGAAAGCUAGGGGAGCGAACG
rnacentral:rRNA from 1 species